rnacentral:hammerhead_ribozyme from 17 species
CAAGCGUCUGGGGUAAGGAGUCGCUGUCAUCAACGCCCCACUGAUGAGUCUAGGCAGUGACUCCGAGACGAAACGCAAA